rnacentral:rRNA from 1 species
GACGAACGCUGGCGGCGUGCCUAAUACAUGCAAGUUGAGCGAUGAAGCUUGGUGCUUGCACCAAUUUGAAGAGCAGCGAACGGGUGAGUAACGCGUGGGGAAUCUGCCUUUGAGCGGGGGACAACAUUUGGAAACGAAUGCUAAUACCGCAUAACAACUUUAAACAUAAGUUUUAAGUUUGAAAGAUGCAAUUGCAUCACUCAAAGAUGAUCCCGCGUUGUAUUAGCUAGUUGGUGAGGUAAAGGCUCACCAAGGCGAUGAUACAUAGCCGACCUGAGAGGGUGAUCGGCCACCUUGGGACCGGGACACGGCCCAAACUCCUACGGGAGGCAGCAGUAGGGAAUCUUCGGCAAUGGACGAAAGUCUGACCGAGCAACGCCGCGUGAGUGAAGAAGGUUUUCGGAUCGUAAAACUCUGUUGGUAGAGAAGAACGUUGGUGAGAGUGGAAAGCUCAUCAAGUGACGGUAACUACCCAGAAAGGGACGGCUAACUACGUG